rnacentral:rRNA from 1 species
UACGGAAGGCAGCAGUGGGGAAUAUUGCACAAUGGGCGAAAGCCUGAUGCAGCUAUGCCGCGUGUAUGAAGAAGGCCUUAGGGUUGUAAAGUACUUUCAUCGGGGAGGAAAAAACAAAACUAAUAAUUUUAUUUCUUGACGUUACCCGAAAAAGAAGCACCGGCUAACUCCGUGCCAGCAGCCGCGGUAAUACGGAGGGUGCUAGCGUUAAUCAGAAUUACUGGGCGUAAAGAGCACGUAGGUGGUUUUUUUAAAGUCAGAUGUGAAAUCCCUGGGCUUUAACCUAGGAACUGCAUUUUGAAACUGAAAUACUAGAGUAUCGUAGAGGGAGGUAGAAUUCUAGGUGUAGCGGUGAAAUGCGUAGAUAUCUGGAGGAAUACCUGUGGCGAAAGCGGCCUCCUAAAUGAAUACUGACACUGAGGUGCGAAAGCGUGGGGAGCAAACAGGGAUUAGAUACC